GGUUAAGCGACUAAGCGUACACGGUGGAUGCCCUGGCAGUCAGAGGCGAUGAAGGGCGUGCUAAUCUGCGAUAAGCGCCGGUAAGGUGAUAUGAACCGUUAUAACCGGCGAUACCCGAAUGGGGAAACCCAGUGUGACUCGUCACACUAUCAUUAACUGAAUCCAUAGGUUAAUGAGGCGAACCGGGGGAACUGAAACAUCUAAGUACCCCGAGGAAAAGAAAUCAACCGAGAUUCCCCCAGUAGCGGCGAGCGAACGGGGAGGAGCCCAGAGCCUGAAUCAGCAUG
rnacentral:rRNA from 2 species